rnacentral:rRNA from 1 species
AAUAUUGGUCAAUGGACGCAAGUCUGAACCAGCCAUGCCGCGUGGAGGAUGAAGGUCCUCUGGAUUGUAAACUUCUUUUAUCUGGGACGAAACACUCCUAUUCUUAGGGGCCUGACGGUACCAGAUGAAUAAGCACCGGCUAACUCCGUGCCAGCAGCCGCGGUAAUACGGAGGGUGCAAGCGUUAUCCGGAUUCACUGGGUUUAAAGGGUGCGUAGGUGGGUAUGUAAGUCAGUGGUGAAAUCCCCGAGCUUAACUUGGGAACUGCCGUUGAUACUAUAUAUCUUGAAUGUCGUAGAGGUAAGCGGAAUAUGUCAUGUAGCGGUGAAAUGCUUAGAGAUGACAUAGAACACCAAUUGCGAAGGCAGCUUGCUAUGCGAUUAUUGACACUGAGGCACGAAAGCGUGGGUAGCAAACAGG